rnacentral:misc_RNA from 1 species
GAUGAAGAACGCAGCGAAAUGCGAUACGUAAUGUUAAUUGCAAAUUCAGUGAAUCAUCGAGUCUUUGAACGCACAUUGCGCCCCCUGGUAUUCCGGGGGGCAUGCCUGUCCGAGCGUCAUUGCUGCCCUCAAGCACGGCUUGUGUGUUGGGCCCCGUCCUCCGAUCCCGGGGGACGGGCCCGAAAGGCAGCGGCGGCACCGCGUCCGGUCCUCGAGCGUAUGGGGCUUUGUCACCCGCUCUGUAGGCCCGGCCGGCGCUUGCCGAUCAACCCAAAUUUUUAUCCAGGUUGACCUCGGAUCAGGUAGGGAUACCCGCUGAACUUAAGCAUAUCAAUAAGCGGAGGA